rnacentral:rRNA from 1 species
UACGAAGGGGGCUAGCGUUGCUCGGAAUCACUGGGCGUAAAGCGCACGUAGGCGGCUUUCUAAGUCAGGGGUGAAAUCCUGGAGCUCAACUCCAGAACUGCCUUUGAUACUGGAGAGCUUGAGUCCGGAAGAGGUGAGUGGAACUCCGAGUGUAGAGGUGAAAUUCGUAGAUAUUCGCAAGAACACCAGUGGCGAAGGCGGCUCACUGGCUCGGUACUGACGCUGAGGUGCGAAAGCGUGGGGAGCAAACAGG